GAAAGGAGAAAAGGCACUGGACUUUUCUAUGUGUGUAAUGUUCACAAAAUUAGGUACAGGGAAAAAAAAAUAAAAGAAAAAAGAGAUUAUCCCUUUACAUAUAUCAUCAUAUGCACAAAAUGGAGUUAUCUUAGUAUGAUUUAGAUUCUGCACUCAUCAUGAUCCACAUACUGCUGUAUGGAUGAGAUUCUUUUUCAAAGGUUUCAAUGACCAUAGCUAUCCCCAACUUCUUCAAGGACUAUCCACUAUAUGUUUCUUGGUAUGUUUCAAUUCCUAUGCAAGUUUCUAUCACAAAAGCAAGAGAGUCUGGCAUUGCUCUUUUCUCUUUGUACAGAAAGGGUGUAGCAGAGAAUGGCUGAAUUUACUUCUUGUGGAAGGUAACCAUAAUUGCAAGGGCAAAAAUACGAAUAGCUAAGCCGAAAACAAUGAGGAAGAUUAAACAACGAUACCAAUGACUGAGAUCAAAUCCACUUUCCAUGAGAGAACCACACCGUGUUAUCAGCCAUACACCAUAAUAUCUUUUAGCAUUUGAUAUGACAAAAGCUUCCAAUGCCCAUUUAGUGUAACAUAAGUCAGAUAGUUUUGUAACAAAGCUGCCGUUUUCACCAUGGGUUGCUAUUAAGGUUAAAACAACUGGAAGAAGCACUGACCACAGUUGAGCUGGACCAGCCUCAAAGCAAAUGGCUAACGCAUAAGCUAUCCCGGUUACACAAUAAACGAGGCAGGUUAAAACUACAUAAUUAUCUGUGACUGUUGAUCUUGGAUUAUUGAAGAAGUAGAACAUUGACAGAUACACUAGUGGUUUGACAAUUGUGUUGAAAUGAUCAACUGUAUCCUUUGCUAGAAAAUAAGCCAAGCCACUCAUGCCAGAAGCACUUUCUCUCCAGUAAUGUAGCUUAUCCAAAGAAAAUGAUCUCAAAGCUGUGAUCUUGCAGAGUAAAGAAACUGCUAUCACGGUGUAUGUGUAACCCAGCACUCCAAAAGUUUCAUCGCUCACUUUAGCUAAUGUUCCUAAGCAGAUUCCAGCGAGUAAUAAAAUCAAAAAAUCUACAGCUUGUGUCCUUGCAUCUCUUAAUCUCUGUUUGCAAAUCCUCCCUAAGAAGUAUCUGUAUUGUUGAAAGACACCAGGGGUUCUCCGAUUGGAUAAGUCGUCUGUGAUUGAGAUAUUAAGUUCUAUAUUAUCUUUCUUCAUCUCAACAUUAGACUUCAUAUCCUGCCAAAACUCUCCAGCAAAAGACUCUGGUUCAGAUUCAGCUUCGGCUCCAUGAUUUGAAUCACUUGAGGAUGCUCCUAGUCUAUCAGCACUCUGUAGCAUAUCCAUAGGAACUGGAUAGCCAUUAUGAAGCAUCCAUCUAAUUGGAAGCUGUUUAUAGUCCACCCCUGAGCUAGGUUUUACUAUCCCCUCCAAAAUGUCAAUGAAGUAGUCUGGAGGAUUUACACGCUCAGGUACAGUAAUCCCAAGGCCAGCAAAAUACUCUUCAACUUUCUUUACUGGUCCAUGAUAUACUGUCAGGCCACCCUUAGCUAGAAGUAUCAAAUCAUCAAACAUGCUGAACAACGCAUAGCUUGGUUGGUGUACAACCAAGGAAAUGUUUACUCCCUCAAGAGCUUCACGUCUAAGAGCUCUAAGCAGUAAAAGAGAAGAUGAGCUGUCCAAACCAGACGUGGGUUCAUCUAAUAUCAGAAGUGAAGGUUCCAUAACCAUUUCAAGCCCAACAUUUACUCGUUUUCUUUGACCUCCAGAAAUUCCUCUCUUCUCCACUGUCCCAACCAGAGAAUCCCGCACUGCCUGCAGCCCUAAGGACUCGAUGACUCUUUCAACAACUAGAACCUUUUCUGGUUUUGGUAGAUCAGCAGAUAGUCUGCAUCUUGCACUGAACCAGAGAUUCUCCUCCACUGUCAAGUUUCCGUGCACAAUAUCAUCUUGAGGCACAAAACCAAUGAUUUUCUUGUAUGCUUGGAUUGGCUCUGCCUUACCAUUUACAAGAACCAUACCAGACACAUGGCACCCGGUCGCUUUUCCAGUCAAAGCAGAAAGAAAUGUUGUUUUUCCAGCCCCAGAUGGGCCCAUGACAGCAGAAACUCGCCCAGGUGAUAAUUUCCCAGUUACACACCUUAGCAGAUGUUUAUUUUUAUGUUUCAAAGUGAGGGUUAGGUCUUUAAAAAAAAUCUCAAUCAUAGGUCUCUUCCUGAUUUCAAUAUCACUAGCCAUUGAAAUGACCCCAGAGAAGGUCAAGUUCUUAUUCUGCUCCUGCAUAGCCUUUUCUUUCUCAAUCUGUCCAUAUGCAUACCUGAACAUUUGGCUCUGAGUGUGCAGCUGCUUACCUUUUGGUGCAUGCUUUUUGAUAUUUUUAUCUCCGAUCUCUAGAUUGAAGCCCUCAUGACUCUCGGGAUUAGCUUCAAUUUCCUGCAGCAUCGUUGUAAGGUUAUUUUUGUCCUUUUUCUUUCCUUUUGUUGCUGCAGAUGAACUACCUCCAAGCAUGGAUGGUAAGGCAGCAUCUGUUCCAGGUUUAGCUUGACCAGUACCUUUUACCAGAUCUGCUUGUCUUUUAGAUUUUGUACGAGAAAAUGUGCGUGAUAAUUGAGUUUGUAGUCCAAUUGCAUGCUUUUUGGCAAUGUCUUUUGCAGAUUUCCAUUUUUCACGUGCUUGCGCUGUUUCUCUCACACUUUGAACUGCUUUCUCCCUAGUUCUUGCUUGUCUUUUCUCUCGGGUUGCAAGAACUUGAUCAGAACAGUUAUAAAUAAUGAUGAACAGAAAACUCAAUCCGACAAAAACCAAGAUGCCAUAUGCAGUGAUAUUUUGAUUUGACGAUUUUGGUUCACAAGUUGCCAUCCGAAAACACUUUGCUUGAGUUGUAG
rnacentral:misc_RNA from 1 species